AACGAACGCUGGCGGUAUGCUUAACACAUGCAAGUCGAACGAACAUAUUGAUUUCGGUUAAUAAGUUAGUGGCAGACGGGUGAGUAACGCGUGGGAAUGUACCCUUUAGUUCAGAAUAACUACGGGAAACUGUAGCUAAUACUGGAUAAGCCCUUCGGGGGAAAGAUUAAUCGCUAAAGGAACAGCCCGCGUUAGAUUAGGUAGUUGGUGAGGUAAAAGCUCACCAAGCCGACGAUCUAUAGCUGGUUUGAGAGGAUGAUCAGCCACACUGGGACUGAGACACGGCCCAGACUCCUACGGGAGGCAGCAGUGGGGGAAUAUUGGACAAUGGGGGCAACCCUGAUCCAGCAAUACCGCGUGAGUGAAGAAGGCCUUCGGUUGUAAAGCUCUUUACCGGGGUAAGAUAAUGACGGUACCCGGGGAAGUAAGACUCCGGCCGUAACUUCGUGCCAGCAGCCGCGGUAAUCGUGUAGGUCGUU
rnacentral:rRNA from 1 species